rnacentral:rRNA from 1 species
GACGAACGCUGGCGGCGUGCUUAACACAUGCAAGUCGAGCGGUAAGGCCCUUUACGGGGGGUACACGAGCGGCGAACGGGUGAGUAACACGUGGGUGACCUGCCCUCAGCUCUGGGAUAAGCCUGGGAAACCGGGUCUAAUACUGGAUAUGACUCAUGACGCAUGUUGUGGGGUGGAAAGCCUUGUGCGGCUGAGGAUGGGCCCG